GUACCUACGGGGCGCAGCAGUGGGGAAUCUUCCGCAAUGGGCGCAAGCCUGACGGAGCAAUGCCGCGUGAACGAAGAAGGUCUUCGGAUUGUAAAGUUCUGUCCUUAUCGAAGAGAGGGUAUAGAGUGAAAAAUGAUAUACUAGGACGGUAGAUGAGGAGGAAGCCCCGGCUAACUACGUGCCAGCAGCCGCGGUAAUACGCAGGGGGCGAGCGUUGUCCGGAAUCACCGGGCGUAAAGGGUGCGUAGGCGGACUGUUAAGUCAGCGAUAAAAGC
rnacentral:rRNA from 1 species